CGGGGGGCCGCGAUUAGCUCCACAGUGGCCGGACGGCGCGCCACCCGCCCUGCGGGUGAGGGACUCCCGCUCGCCCCUCUCAUCCUCUGCACCGCCCGGGGAAGCUGCGGGGCCGCCAGUGCGCACCGCGCGACGAGGACUCCCUUUUAUGUCCAGGAAUGAGGAGCGCACCGCAGGCACUCCCGCCGCCAAAACCAACUUUCCCGGAGGGCGCGGAGGCAGACGGUGCCACCUCUGGCCGGGUCGCUUACCUGUCGCGGAGCGGGUCCGGGAGACAGCGGGGAGAAGCGCGGAGAUCGAAAGCAGCAAGAGCAGGCUCCAGCAGCGCGCGUUCCUCCUGCAAGAGGUGGCGGGGGGCGAGAAGGGAGGCUGGAGUCAUUGUGAUUUCCUUCAAUGACGGAUGAAGAAACUGAGGCUCAGAGAGAUGGAGCGAACGUCCAACCAAGAUCACACAGCGGGACCGAGUUCUGACAGCUGUGCCGGCCCUGAACGCCUGACCCAUAAACCCCACAGAAGUGGUCCCGUUUCUAGGGGUUCGGUGAUACAUAGAAACUCAUGCAGCAAAGAUGAUCCUAAUUAAAAAUUUAAAUGUUGACUA